GCACAAUCCAUCAACCUAGCAUUGACAUCUUUGAAGCUUUCGAUGAGCUUCUACUGAUGAAAAGAGGAGGGCAAGUGAUAUACUCUGGACCUUUGGGCCGGAAUUCUCAGAAGAUAAUCGAAUACUUUGCAGAGAAAUAAAGCACUUGUUAAGGAGCUAAGCACUCCUGCCCCAGGAGCCGAAGAUAUCUAUUUCCCCACAUAAUAUUCUCAGUCUACUUUCGGGUAGUUCAAAUCAUGCCUUUGGAAGCAAUGGUUGACAUAUUGGAGAAGCCCUGACUAUAACCUCACCCGAUACUUCUUCACCUUAGUUGCUGCCCUCAUGCUUGGCAUGAUCUUUUGGCGGGUUGGCACAAAAAGGGAAAAUGCAAAUGAUCUAACCGUCAUUAUUGGAGCCAUGUACGCAUCCGUUCUAUUUGUUGGCAUCAACAACUGCUCGACCGUGCAACCAAUUGUAGCCAUCAAAAGAUAGUGUUUUACCGAGAAAGAGAAGGUGUCCAGGUGAGAAUGUAUUGGGAGACCUUCAUGAAGGAAGGGAAUUAGAAGCUGGGUAAUGUCCUUUUGGAAGGGAAUUGAGAAAGGAGAUUUUAACAUUCCAUGUCUCAUCCACUCCUGUCGUGUCCACAACCUCAGAAAUCCAGAUUUAAUAUAUUGUCAUGAAGGUUUAAGAGUAAUAAAAAAUUGCAAUGUAGCAAUUUAAAUGCAUUUAACA